ACGGGAGGCAGCAGUGGGGAAUAUUGGGCAAUGGGCGAAAGCCUGACCUAGCAACGCCGCGUGAAGGAAGAAGGUCUUCGGAUUGUAAACCUCUUUUAUGAGGGACGAAGGAAGUGACGGUACCUCAUGAAUAAGCCACGGCUAACUACGUGCCAGCAGCCGCGGUAAUACGUAGGUGGCAAGCGUUAUCCGGAUUUACUGGGUGUAAAGGGCGCGUAGGCGGGGAUGCAAGUCAGGUGUGAAAUCUAUGGGCUUAACUCAUAAACUGCACUUGAAACUGUAUCUCUUGAGUGCUGGAGAGGUAGACGGAAUUCCUUGUGUAGCGGUGAAAUGCGUAGAUAUAAGGAAAAACACCAGUGGCGAAGGCGGCUUACUGGACGACAACUGACGCUGAGGCGCGAAAGCGUGGGGAGCAAACAGGAUUAGAUACCCUGGUA
rnacentral:rRNA from 1 species